GACGUAGGGGGCCAGCGUUGUUCGGAAUUACUGGGUGUAAAGGGUUCGUAGGCGGUGUGGCAAGUCGGGAGUGAAAUUUCUGGGCUCAACUCAGAGACUGCUUCCGAAACUGCUGUGCCGGAGUGUGGGAGAGGCGCGUGGAAUUGCAGGUGUAGCGGUGAAAUGCGUAGAUAUCUGCAGGAACACCCGUGGCGAAAGCGGCGCGCUGGACCACUACUGACGCUGAGGAACGAAAGCUAGGGGAGCAAACGGG
rnacentral:rRNA from 1 species